rnacentral:rRNA from 1 species
CAGCCGCCGCGGGAAUACGAGGGGGGCAAGCGUUGUUCGGAAUUAUUGGGCGUGAAGGGUGCGUAGGCGGUUUGACAAGUCUUAUGUGAAAUCUCUGGGCUCAACCCAGAGUCUGCAUGGGAAACUGUCGGGCUUGAGUAUGGGAGAGGUGAGUGGAAUUUCCGGUGUAGCGGUGAAAUGCGUAGAUAUCGGAAGGAACACCUGUGGCGAAAGCGGCUCACUGGACCAUAACUGACGCUGAGGCACGAAAGCUAGGGGAGCAAACAGGAUUAGAUACCCGCGUAGUCCCUGUCUCUUAUAC